AGGGGGUGCCUUUCAGGCAUCCUCUCCUAAAACUUUUCGGGCUGGCCUUCGGGUCGGCCCUUUUUUUGUGCAGAU
rnacentral:sRNA from 1 species